rnacentral:rRNA from 1 species
AUUUUAAUUAUAAUAAUAAUUACUUUUAGGAUAUUUCCCCUCGGCUAAGGGAACCGGGGUAUUUAAACCUCAAAUUGAAAGGUCCUUUCCGCGCAAGGGGGGACGGGGUGUAAACCGUGGAAAUUCGCUCUUAGUUUGGGAAAACCCCUGGAAACGGUGGCUAAUUCCGGAUUGGCGGAAAGGGGAAAGGUUAACUGCCGGGAAAUAGACUCCGCUUUGAUAAGCUAAUUGGUGGUUAAGGGACUUCCAAGGCGGCGGUCCGUAGCUGUUUGGAGGGAUGAUCAGCCACACUGGAACUGGGACCCGGUCCAGACUCCUUCGGGAGGCAGCAGUGGGGAAUUUUCCGCAAUGGGGGAAAGCCUGACGGAGCAAUACCGCGUGAGGGAGGAAGGCUCUUGGGUUGUAAACCUCUUUUUUCAGGGAAUAAGCAAGUGAAGGUACCUGAGGAAUCAGCAUCGGCUAACUCCGUGCCAGCAGCCGCGGUAAUACGGAGGAUGCAAGCGUUAUCCGGAAUGAUUGGGCGUAAAGCGUCCGUAGGUAGCAGUGUGUGUCUAUUGUUAAAGAGUUUGGCUUAACCAAAUAAAGGCGGUAGAAACUACACAGCUAGAGUGCGUUCGGGGCAGAGGGAAUUCCUGGUGUAGCGGUGAAAUGCGUAGAGAUCAGGAAGAACACCGGUGGCGAAAGCGCUCUGCUAGGCCGCAACUGACACUGAGGGACGAAAGCUAGGGGAGCGAAUGGGAUUAGAUACCCCAGUAGUCCUAGCCGUAAACGAUGGAUACUAGGCGUUGAGAGUAUCGACCCUCUCAGUGCCGUAGCUAACGCGUUAAGUAUCCCGCCUGGGGAGUACGCACGCAAGUGUGAAACUCAAAGGAAUUGACGGGGGCCCGCACAAGCGGUGGAGUAUGUGGUUUAAUUCGAUGCAACGCGAAGAACCUUACCAGGGCUUGACAUGUCUGGAAUCUUGGGGAAACUCAAGAGUGCCUUCGGGAGCCAGAACACAGGUGGUGCAUGGCUGUCGUCAGCUCGUGUCGUGAGAUGUUGGGUUAAGUCCCGCAACGAGCGCAACCCUCGUACUUAGUUGCCAGCACUUCGGGUGGGCACUCUAAGGAGACUGCCGGUGACAAACCGGAGGAAGGUGGGGAUGACGUCAAGUCAGCAUGCCCCUUACGUCCUGGGCUACACACGUACUACAAUGCUACGGACAAAGGGCAGCGAGACUGCGAAGUUAAGCAAAUCUCAGAAACCGUAGCUCAGUUCAGAUCGCAGGCUGCAACUCGCCUGCGUGAAGGAGGAAUCGCUAGUAAUUGCAGGUCAGCAUACUGCAGUGAAUUCGUUCCCGGGCCUUGUACACACCGCCCGUCACACCAUGGAAGCUGGUCACGCCCGAAGUCGUUACCCUAACCAUUAUUGGAGGGGACGCCGAAGAGAAGGGGGGC